UACGUGGGGGGCAAGCGUUGUCCGGAUUUAUUGGGCGUAAAGAGCGUGUAGGCGGCCAGGUAGGUCUGCUGUGAAAACUCGAGGCUUAACCUCGAGCUGUCGGCGGAAACCAUCUGGCUAGAGUCCGGAAGAGGAGAAUGGAAUUCCCGGUGUAGCGGUGAGAUGCGCAGAUAUCGGGAAGAACACCCGUGGCGAAGGCGGUUCUCUGGGACGGUACUGACGCUGAGACGCGAAAGCGUGGGGAGCGAACAGG
rnacentral:rRNA from 1 species